rnacentral:lncRNA from 1 species
GCGGUUUGAUUCUUUUUAUUAUCUUAACGUGAAUUUAGUGAUUGACAUCAAAGAAAAGAGAGAUAGAUACUUGUGGGUUUUUGCUGUUGUGUGUAUCAAAAGAUAGGAAAUUGCAAUGGGAUACGAAUCAGAUUCUUUAUGGGAGAUAGAUACAUCGAAGAAUUCGAGUCCGAAAGCCAUCAACAUCCUCUCUGUGACCGCUUCAAAUCUAGAGAAGAAGAAGAAAAAUGAUGAUGAGACCUCAAAAGAUUCCAAAACCAACAAGGUUACAAAGAGACCACUUUUUCAAAGAUUGUGGACCAAAGGUGAUGAAAGCAUCAAAAGCAAAAGUUCCUUUCUAGGAUGAAGACACAACCAUCUUCAUCAAUUAUAAUGAUUGCUUCCUAAUUUUGAACCUCUUUCAUGGUAGCAGGGUCAAACUAGAGCAUCUUUGCGGAGAUACUCUUCAGUAACAGCUUUCUAAUUUUUGGCAAGAAGGUCAAUAUGAACUUCUUGUAGAGCAGAAGUCCUAAUGGUAAUGAGGUAAACAACCUGUAGAGAAAUAUGCAGCCAAUUUUGUCAAAAUGAGUCAUUAGGUCAUUGCUGAUUCAUUCUACUCAAAUUUUCAGAGUUCAAGUCGUAUUUUAGGUUCAUUUAAUAAAUGAAUUCAAUGCUUAAACCUAAUUGGGUAGAGUCGGAGAAUUAUAUGAGUGAGCUCUAAUGAGAAGUGACUUAGCUCGCAAGCAAAAUUAUAAAAAUAAGAGUUAAAAUUUUAAGUUAUGAGUUUCCUUUUUCAAAAAAAAUAGAGAAAGAUGCAAAUAAAGGUUGGUAACAUUGAUGAAAAUCAUGCAUAUAACGUGGACAACAGCCUUAAAAGUCCCACAAGUCUGUGUACACUUUCGUCCCUUCCCCUCUAAAACCUCAUCUUUGAUAACAAGUGUGAAACUAGGAUGGGUUGAGCUCAUGAGAGCUUUAUUAAGAAGAGAUUUAGCUAAGAAGAUAGACAUUGAAACAUAUAGCUCAUAGAGCUUUAUUUAAGACAAUAAAGUAAAGAAGUGGAAAGAACGUGAGAUUGUCUGCAAGAGUAUAAUGACUUUGAUUAUCACAUUAAGAAGAGAAAGUGAGGCUGCGGUUUUUAGCAGCCAAAGUUGGUUACAAAGACUUUCCUAGAACAUAUUUAUAAGACUACUUGGUAGGAACCCUAGUUACACUUAAGACUUCAUAACAUGGGCUUUGGACUUCUGUUGGGCUUUUAUGCAUGAGCUCUAAUACUCCCCCGCAAACUUGGCGUCGAGUGAAUGCAAGAUGCUGAGUUUGAACUGCAGAUGGAAGUGACUUGGACAGAAACAUGUGUAAUCAAGCAAGACCAUUGUGAUGUAGGUUGAUGACUCUAUUCACCAUGAAGAACAAGCCUUAGCGUGAGAACUAUUCAAGUCUGUACCUGGAGAUUGUCGCAUGGCUCCCUCAGAGGUUUCUUUUGAACUUGGAGAGCUUAGUCAACAUCCCUCAGCGACUUAUUUGUCUCACUGAGAACCGGGCUUCUUUGACCCUUUUAACUCCUAAUCUGUCUCCUGACGAAAGAAUUAUCUUCCCAAACCUACUCAAAUCCUACUCUUUAGCAACUGCUUCCAAUAGCCAACAAAAAUCUGCAUUUUGUAGAAUCUAUCCUUCUCUUUGACAUUUCAUCGAGCACUUGGAGUACAUUCAUCAAAACACUUUGCUUUUCCACACAAAAAAACGACAACAGAAACCUUCCAACACAGUCAUAGCAAACCCCAUACCACUCAUAUUUCAUCCAAGACUCUCAAUUCCAGACCUAAGAAUCUAAACCAGCAAGCCAAAUAUCCUUCUCAAGCUACAAAACAAGUUAUCUCUAUUUCUUUGGAUCUGUCGCAAAAAAAGGAGACUUCUUUACCGUGAUAUGUGUAAAGGAAGAAGCUUGAAAUCUUGUGGUUCCAAGGUCUUUAGCUUCGGCUGAUGAGUCUGGUGGUCUUGAGAGCACUUAAAAAACGUCAGCAACUUGCAGCUUUUCACCAGAUGCUUAGUGUUGCAAACGAUGUCUUCAUGAAGCUGGUGAGAUGAAGCGAGACCAACUCUCUGAAGAUGAUGCUAGAGCUGACUUGUUAGGUUGAGAGGAAGCUUAAAUGACCCAUGAAUCGACUGAAGCUCUGAUACCAUGAUAACAAGUGUGAAACUAGGAUGGGUUGAGCUCAUGAGAGCUUUAUUAAGAAGAGAUUUAGCUAAGAAGAUAGACAUUGAAACAUAUAGCUCAUAGAGCUUUAUUUAAGACAAUAAAGUAAAGAAGUGGAAAAAACGUGAGAUUGUCUGCAAGAGUAUAAUGACUUUGAUUAUCACGUUAAGAAGAGAAAGUAAGGCUGCGGUUUGUAGCAGCCAAAAUUGGUUACAAAGACUUUCCUAGAACAUAUUUAUAAGAUUACUUGGUAGGAACCCUAGUUACACUUAAGACUUCAUAACAUGGGCUUUGGACUUCUGUUGGGCUUUUAUGCAUGAGCUCUAAUA